GAUGAACGCUGGCGGCGUGCCUAAUACAUGCAAGUCGAGCGAACAGAUGAGAAGCUUGCUUCUCUGAUGUUAGCGGCGGACGGGUGAGUAACACAUGGGUAACCUACCUAUAAGACUGGAAUAACUCCGGGAAACCGGGGCUAAUACCGGAUAAUAUUUUGAACCGCAUGGUUCAAUAGUGAAAGACGGUUUCGGCUGUCACUUAUAGAUGGACCCGCGCCGUAUUAGCUAGUUGGUAAGGUAACGGCUUACCAAGGCGACGAUACGUAGCCGACCUGAGAGGGUGAUCGGCCACACUGGAACUGAGACACGGUCCAGACUCCUACGGGAGGCAGCAGUAGGGAAUCUUCCGCAAUGGGCGAAAGCCUGACGGAGCAACGCCGCGUGGGUGAUGAAGGUCUUCGGAUCGUAAAACUCUGUUGUUAGGGAAGAACAAAUUUGUUAGUAACUGAACAAGUCUUGACGGUACCUAACCAGAAAGCCACGGCUAACUACGUGCCAGCCGCCGCGGUAA
rnacentral:rRNA from 1 species